ensembl:lncRNA uncharacterized LOC115014245
GUCCAAUGCCCAUGCGCGCUCUGCAGAGGACGUUAUCCUCUUAUACACAUUCACAUAAACAUUCACAAAUAUCUAGCGGUGGAUUUAUUCUUCACACAUCAUGCAGGUGAAGAUGUCCCCGUGUGUCCUGCUCACUGCCCUUUUUGCCCUUCAUCUAGCUGUGGGUGAAAGAGAAGAAGCCCAGAUGGUUUGUUCCGGGCGGGAAUUUCGUCUGCCCGUUUUCUCGACAUCCAGAACGGUGACUUUUACACCAGACCCUGACGGACCAAGGCGCGUCCUGCUGGACAAAACCAUCGUAAAGGACCCGCGGUUCGAGUGGACCAGAGAUAAGAUGCUAGUCCUGAGAGAUGUGACUCAUGAUGAUCAGGGACUUUACGCCAUCAAACUGUUUUCUGGAUUCACCUACGAAGCUGUUCGUUUGACUGUUUCAGCAUGCAUUAAGUCCUACCGCAGAAACUACGGGGAGAACUUUGAGCACAACAUCCCUGAAAAUGGCUCGCUUCUGGAGUUUUCUCCCAGGGGUGCUCCACCUGAGGCCAUGCCAGUUGCACUGUGGAACCGGACGGAUCCUGAGACCAGUGAUGCGGGCCGGGGCCGGCUGCUGCAGGCUGGGAAGGUGUGGGUGGCAGAAAGAGUGACGCAGGCGGACCAAGGCAACUACACUGUGAGAGACGGCAAGGGGAAGGUCGUGUCCCGCAGCACCCUCACUGUCCGCGGGCGCUCCUUCAAUGUCACCCGCUUCACCAAGGAGUCUCUAAACCUGCCCCUCUUUCUCCCUGUCCCUCAUGCACGCCUCAUUUUUACCCCCACCCGAUACCCUGACGAAUCCUCCCUGGGCUCUUUUGACCCCAAGCCCCCCCGUGGCCCUGUGCAGCUGAUCCGCGAGGGCCAUAUAACAGACCACGACAUGCGCUACAGGGGCCUCAUCUCUCUGGGCAGGAACGGCACCAUCAAUGAGGUCGUCAUAGUGAGGCUGACUUCAAGGCAUGACGGACUGUAUGAAAUCAGAGAUGGGGAUGGCAACCUGGUAUCUGCCACCUGGUUGCAGGUUAUCGAAAAGGGAGGCAGAUGGCGAGCACUUCUCAAGUCCAUCACUGUCCCUUCUGGCAUGUUUGUGUCGCUGGCUGGUUUCCUCCUGUUCAUGAAGCGAUACCCAAACUGCAGCCUGUCACAGAUCAUCGCUGGCCUCCGAGCAAACCGCACGCCACCAGCCAACCCUCCGAGGGUCAACAUCCAGGACUACAGCCAGCCCAGCCCUCAGCCCUCAGGCUACUAUAGUCACUCUCAGCCGCCUGGAACACCCAGAAAAUUGACCCCAAGAGCCAGUCCUGCUCACUCUGCUUCCUCUCCGGUUAUAGUAGGAACUCCUAGAGCUGACAACCAGGAAGAACACAGAUUGGUGGCUAGGAGCUCCCCUCGUCAUAAUCCAACCACUGAGCGGGACACAUCUCACAACAACGAGGAAGAGAGAAGGAUUUCUUUUUCGGUGCCUGGGGCUUCAGACUGCCUUCACUCUUCUGAGGACUGUGUUCAAUUCCAGAUCAAGAAGGAUGGAGAUAAAGAAAGGUGGAGCAAAUUACAAGGAUACUUUUCCACACUGCCACUGGACACGGACACCUCUGAAUCCUGCAGUGUUUACACUUCGGAGAAACUGAACUUCUUAUAAAACAGAGAAUGGGAGCUGAAGGAAGAAGAAGAAACAUAAAACAUGGAGAAACUACAGUAUUGGAUUCUCAGAUGGAGAAAGCUGUUUUAUAAAAGAAAGACCUCACCUGUGCCUUUUGCAUCUUAGUCUAGUUUUACUAGUUUGGUAUCAAUAUUGCAUGUCAUUUUUUCAUGUCAUUUUUAUGCAGCAUGAGUUGAGCAUUAGCCUUCCUAUCUCAUAUAUUUCUUGACACUGUUGACGGUGCUUUUGAAAUCUCCUGCUGUUACCUACCUCCAGACCCUCAGGACCAGUAUGAUCUGCACUGUAUUUGCUGAGUGUUGGUGCGAGUAUGUUUGUGGUGUGAUCGCUAGGGCUACCUAGAAAUUAGAGUUGUGAUGGAUACAAAUAUUUGCAAAAGGGAAUUAAAUAAAUACUUAAAUACUGUACAGUUAUAGAGAGUUAGUUGACGUGUUUUUCUCCAUCCAUCAUGUUAACCAUUCCUAACUGCAACAACAAUUAAUUAUUGUGUUAAAUGUCUGCUAUGCAGUUCAGUGAUUGUUUGCAAUGAUAUAGUAUAUUUACCCUCAAGGUAAUUGUAGAAAUAGUUGUGUGAAAUAUGAAAUGUUCCACCAAACAUUGCAAUAGCCUAUUAAUCUGUAAACUUUGUGUACAGUAUAACAUCUUAUCACCAAAUCUUUCUAGUGACGACUAAGGUUGUAUUGCUGCUUGUGAUAUUUUUGGACUGUCAAAAUGUCAUCUCCUAAACAAUAAAAUGUAUCUUUAAGACACAUUUUAGAUGCGCUUCCUCUUAUGCACUUUUGUUUGGCUGUAACUAACAAAUCAAAUCAAAUGUAUU